rnacentral:lncRNA from 1 species
AUGUAUCUUAGUCUCUUCCACCCCUUGGUUCACACUGUUCUGCCCAGAAACUUCUCUUUACUCCCACAAUUCUUGGAAUUGUUCUUUUCCUCCCUGUUUCAGAUAUAUUCGUUGCUGUUUCCUCUGUUUCUUAGAGAAAUGGAUGUGAGAAUGAAAAGUGGCACUACUCCUCAUUCAUUUUCCUUCUACAAAAUAAUUGUCUCUCAAUUUGUAUAUAUUUCUUUUUAACAAAGUAAAACUUCUUAUGCACAUAGAUUCAUCGGAUUGAAAAAAUGAGAGUUUCUUAAAGGUAGAAAACCAGGAAUACAUUGGUAAAUUCAUGAAGCUAGAAAGUAGCUAAUCAAAACUCUUAUGACAACUUCUGGGGUUGAUUAAGAAUAGCCAUAAUUCUUUGUAACAAAUCCCCUCAAGAGGUGGAAUCUAUGUCCAUACUCCUUGGCCCUGUUCUGGCCUUGAGACUUGCUUUGAUCAAUAGAAGGUGACAGAAGUGACUCUGCACACAUUCCAAGAGUAGGCCUCCUACGAUGCUGCUACCUAUGAACAAGUCCAAGUUAGCCUCAUGGAAAACGAAAAACAUGUGAAGAGGGGUCCCUGCCUUCCUGACAUCCCGGUCCACCCCAGUGAAGCCCACAGAGGUGAGGAAACCCAGCUGAUACCAUGUGGUUCUGAGACCAGCUUAUCAGCUGAUUCCUGCCCAAACUGCCAGCCCACAAAAUCAAGAGCAAAUAAAUGGUUGCUGUUAUAACUAGUUGGUUUGUUACACAGAAACAGCUAAUCAAUAUGCCUUCUUAACCUCAAUUAUCUAAAAAAGAUCUCCCUCCUCACCAAUUCAUAGCUAAGUGGUUCUCCAAGGAAUAUUAUGAAUAAUAAUACAAAUUUCCUGUUUUUGUGCAUCACGUGAAAAUGGUCAGAAUCAAAAUGGAGUCACUAAUAUUAAAAAACAAACAAAAGACUCUAACAAAUACAGCUGGGAAGGCCAUGAAAGGAGGGUUCUAAUGUUGUACACCUGAAAGCCAAAACUACCAAGACUGCAAAAACCAUAACCUUGAACAAAGCCCACUGCAACUGAACACAAAGCAUACUCUGCAAGGACCUCUGAACAACUGCCUGUGCAACCUCAGACUAACACUUUCAUGACCGAUCUUUGUAGCCAAGGCUACUUAUUUCAAAGCAAUUCGAUAAUCCUCAUUUUUUCCUUGAAAAAUUUUUGUCUUCCUUUAUUUCCCCAAAUAUACACAUACUUUCCUCUGGCAUGCGUAUUCCCACUGCAGUGCUCUAUUCCCAGAGAAAUAUUUUUCUUUUAGGGACCUCUCUCUGUUAUUUAGCUUGACGGUCACUAAGGAUUUACUAUUUCAACAAUACUAGCCCUGCAUGUCAUCCAGUAUCCACUGGGAAAAUAAGGUCCCCAUGUGCAGAUCCAGGAGACUUUG